GACGAACGCUGGCGGCGUGCUUAACACAUGCAAGUCGAACGGUGAUGCUCCAGCUUGCUGGAGUGGAUCAGUGGCGAACGGGUGAGUAACACGUGAGCAACCUGCCCCAGACUCUGGAAUAAGCGCUGGAAACGGCGUCUAAUACUGGAUACGAAACUGGCCCGCAUGGGCAUGGUUUGGAAAGUUUUUCGGUUUGGGAUGGGCUCGCGGCCUAUCAGCUUGUUGGUGAGGUAAUGGCUCACCAAGGCGACGACGGGUAGCCGGCCUGAGAGGGCGACCGGCCACACUGGGACUGAGACACGGCGCAGACCCCUACGGGAGGCAGCAGUGGGGAAUAUUACACAGUGGGCGCAAGCCUGAUGCAGCGACGCCGCGUGAGGGAUGACGGCCUUCGGGUUGUAAACCUCUUUCAGCAGGGAAGAAGCGAAAGUGACGGUACCUGCAGAAGAAGCACCGGCUAACUACGUG
rnacentral:rRNA from 1 species